CCCUUAGAUGUUCUGGGCCGCACGCGCGCUACACUGACGAUGUCAGAGAGUGUCUCCUUCACCGAGAGGUGUGGGUAAUCUUUUAAACAUCGUCGUGCUGGGGAUAGAUCAUUGCAAUUUUCGAUCUUAAACGAGGAAUUCCUAGUAAGCGCGAGUCAUCAGCUCGCGCUGAUUACGUCCCUGCCCUUUGUACACACCGCCCGUCGCUACUACCGAUUGAAUGGUUUAGUGAGGCCUUCUGACUGGCGCCGCUACUCUGGCAACAGAGCGGCGGAUGCCGGGAAGUUGGUCAAACUUGAUCAUUUAGAGGAAGUAAAAGUCGUAACA
rnacentral:rRNA from 1 species